AACAAGUCCUACAAGAGUAUUCACUGACCGCACUGGGGCCCAGCAUAGUCAAUCAAAGGGCUCCAUUGGCCCAGGCAGCAGGUGAGCUGGGCUUAUGGAUAUGAAGUGACUUACAUGAGAUGUCUCUGCUGCCAGAAUUACGAUUCGCAUAUGAGCCUGCAUAGUCCAAGGCCUUGGGCUACCAAGAAUCCCGAAGGGACCAUGAGAGUCUGCAGCAGAUGGGACAUUUACAGAACAGAGAUGCCAGUGUUCCUGGGAAAUCUGAAAAGUACAAACACAC